GGGUAGGGUGAUCUGGCUGCAAUAUUUGUCACCCUAUUGAUCGCCAGGGUUGAUUUGGCAGAUCUGGCUGGCUAGGUGGAUGUCCCCUUCCUCCAUCACUGUUUCCUGUGUGUCCCUCCCGAAGCUAUGCACUCGGUGGAAGAGGACGAUGUCCCAGGUAUAGGACUGUACCAAGGUCUCCAGUCUUUGGUCCCUGGGACACAAUAGCUGUGUUACCCUGCUAGAACCUCCAAACAAGCUCAAGGUCCAUUUGUUAGGUUGGGAAAAAACAGCUAAAGAGGAGAAAAUCCCUACCUGG
rnacentral:snRNA from 1 species